rnacentral:rRNA from 1 species
AUAACAACACUAGACGCAUGUCUAGAGUUUAAAAGAUGGGUUCUGCUAUCACUCUUGGGAUGGGACCCUGCGGUGCAUUUAGCUAGUUGGUAAGGGUAACGGGCUUACCAAGGCAAUGAUGCAUAGCCCGAGUUGAGAGACUGAUCGGGCCACAUUGGGGACUGAGACACGGGCCCAAAACUCCUACGGGGAGGGCAGCAGUAGGGAAUCUUCCACAAUGGACGCAAGUCUGAUGGAGCAACGCCGCGUGAGUGAAGAAGGGUUUCGGCUCGUAAAGCACUGUUGGUAGUGAAGAAAGAUAGAGGUAGUAACUGGUCCUUUAUUUGACGGUAAUUACUUAGAAGUCACGGCUAACUACGUGCCAGCAGCCGCGGUAAU